rnacentral:tRNA from 1 species
ACUUCUUUAGUAUAACGCAAUACUAGUGACUUCCAAUCACUUUAUCUUGGUUAAACUCCAAGAAGAAGUA